UACGGGGGGAGCAAGCGUUGUUCGGAUUUACUGGGCGUAAAGGGCGCGUAGGCGGCCAGCACAGGUCAGUUGUGAAAUCUCCGAGCUUAACUCGGAACGGUCAACUGAUACUGUGCGGCUAGAGUGCAGAAGGGGCAACUGGAAUUCUUGGUGUAGCGGUGAAAUGCGUAGAUAUCAAGAGGAACACCUGCGGCGAAGGCGGGUUGCUGGGCUGACACUGACGCUGAGGCGCGAAAGCUAGGGGAGCGAACGGG
rnacentral:rRNA from 1 species